CGGAAGCUGCCCUUCGAGACUCCAGUGCCAAAGACGAGGGAGACAUCACGAAAUAUCUCCUAUGAGAUAGACGUUGGUGGGAAAAGGUUAGAAACUACAGAAAAGGGGUUCCCACUAGGAAAUCCAAAGCGUCUCUGCAUACUUGAAACGUGUUUAAUGUGGGGAACUGGCCACCUGAUGGCAAAGGAGCAGUGCGAUACCAGAUAACAUUUAGAACCUCCAGUUAUACGUGGUCCUAGAACAGGAGCCCCGUUCGUGACGGCUGGAGCCCGGCUUGCCCUCCAGCUCCCGCCGGUGCCCCCCCUUGUCUGGGUCCAGUGAGGCCAGGAGCCGGAGAGACGAGUCGUGUGUUCCCGGCUCGGCCCCUGGGAUUCGAAGGGAACGUGGCCCCGAGGGCAGACGCAGCGUGCACCUGCUCAGCGGACACCCCGGUCCCCACACGACGCCCCUUCUGUGUUCUCUGCUCAUGUAACCUUCAGCAGUUGUGCAGCGUUCCGGAGUGUGAUGUUCUAGAAGGUACUUGGCCAUUCUUAAAUUGUGUGCUUAGAAACUGGGACUUCCCACCAAAACUGUCGGGCAGAGGGCCCCAGAGAAGCUUCAGGACCCUCUCCUGGAAGGCAUUUUCGUGGUUUUGAGGUCGAGUUCCACCUUAAGUAAGAUAGCGUUCCCAGUUCACCAGGCUCUGGGGCCAGGAGUGGGGGCUGGGGGUCCACACAUGGGCAUCUAGACGCAUUGGAUGCCCCGGGGGAUGUCAGGAGGCUGUCAAAGGCACGUUUGGGUCACACUUGUGAACAUCCUUAUUUAAAGACCAGGGCUUGAGCUUGGGGUCGUGAACACACCCACACAUGCUUCUAUACACACGCGACUUCAUACAGCCCAGCCAGCUCUCCCCUGAGGGCCGGGUUGGGGUGACGGCGCGUUUGUAAGACUUUUGUGCCCGUGUAGGUUUGAAUGUCAACCAAAGCACAAUCAUGAGGUGGUUCUUCCGUCUUUUGUUUUUUUAAGUUCAUUUCUUCAUUUAUUGUGAAAGCGAGCUGGGGGAGGGGCAGAGAGAGAGAGAGGAGAGAGAGAGAGGAUCCCAAGCAGGCUCCACACUCAGGGCAGAGCCCAAUGUGGGGCUUGAUCUCACGGACUUGGAGAUCCUGACCUGAGCAGAUAUCACGUCGGACGCUCAACCGACUGAGCCACCCAGGCGCCCCCGUGAAGAAUGUGUGGUUCUUCCUCAGCCCGCUAAGCACGCGUGCACGCUUGCACGUGUGUGCACACGUAGGGCACACCCACGCACGCACCCACGCGGGGCGUGCCCUCCGUGGGUCCCGGCAGGCUGUCUGCAGGUCACGUGGCUCCACGUCCAGGCUCCGUCGGGCUGCGAGGAAGAGAAGGACGGCCCCGUGUGCGGAACCGCCCUGCCUCGCACGGGCUCCGUGGGGUUUGGUGAGACGCCGGCCCCUCUGAGCCCCGUGCCUUCCUCUGACAACGGGGCUGACAAAUGCCUACCUUGCAGGCCUUCUGGGACGAUAGUGAAGUACGGUGUGAGGGGUCUCGGGCACACGGCAGGUACAUAGCGAGUGGGUAUUUUACGUUACCACGGGCCGCGUGGGCGCUCGUUCGGUACAGCUGGGCAGGAGGCUCCAGUCCUGGAAGGCUGGGGGCCGGCAGAUGGCUCGGGGACACGGGCCUGGGGUCCUCUGCGGCCUCAGGGAGGGGUGUCUUCAGCUUUGCCGAGCCCCCGGGGACACUGGUGAGCAGCGGGGGCUGCAGGGGCGCCUGUGGGGAGGGGGCGGGCAAGAGGCCGGAGCUGACAGACCGAGGUGACGAGCUGCGUUCCUGGGUAGUGACGGGCAGGAUGGGGAGGGACGCCAAGGCACGGGGGGGGGGGGGAACGCAGGUGGUGGAGAGGGAGGACCCGGGACAGUCCUCCGCCCCAGUGAGAGCCGCGGGGCGGGGUGCUGGUAGUUUAGCCACAUUGGGUACGGUGUGCAAAUACCCACACUGUGCAGGCUGCCGGGAUAUGGGCUCAGAACAAAGUCGGGGUGCAGGGGGGCUCGGGGCCCCCACCACGGGGCCCACCUGGCUUUCAGGUGCUACCUGGAAAUGCGGGAAUUCGCCGUCUCGACUCUGGGAGAGAGGGAGGGAUGAGCGAGGCGGCUCCCUGCCCACCCUCCCCUGACCCCCUGAGGGGCCCUCUUCCCCGCAGACGCCCCGGGGAUCCCGCCCUCGGUACCCACCCCUGUGUCCUCCUCCUUUUUCCCAGCCCCUCCCCUUGCUUGGCGUCCCUGGGGUCCCUCAACGCCCGCACGUGGGCCCAGGCUCUGCUUGGGACAAGCAGGCAUGUGCAGCUGCUUCCGGCCGGCCUGCAGGGUCCUCACGGGAGGGAACCCGGUGCCCUUGAGGCCCCUGCAAGGACAGGGCCCCGCGAUGGCCGCGAGGAGGGAGCUGAAAACAGAAGAAAGACCAGAGACAAAUCGGCCGGCGGCAACGGUCUCCGUGUGGCUGGAUCCGCAGUGGCCCCGCGGAGCCCAGCUUCGAGCUGGCAGGUGUCACCAUGUCUGACGUGGCUCAGUGUCCAGUGGCCGGGACCUUGGCCGGUUCAAGGCCGUUCUGGAACAGAAGGCGCUCAAAGCGGAGCCGCGAGGUCUGAAUUAUCCGAGCGCCGGAGGGACGGCCGGCCCACCUGGCCUCGUUCGCACACGUUUUCUCCAGGUACCAAUUUCUGGGGUCCUGGCUUCGAGACCUCAGACAGGACGACAACUCAGAAAGCCGGGACCUGGCAGGCGGCUUCGUGGACCGAAACAGCUGUUUCCACAGCGCGUGCCCCGAGGUUAGAGUCAGGAACUCCCCGCCUUUAACCUUGACCCCCUGAGAAGGUCGCCGACCGAGGGGUGUGCCGUGCCCGGGGAGGCCCAUCGGCGGAGAUCGCAUUCCCGGGUCAGUGACCUGCCGCCCCACCUAGAACAUGACCCACACGGAGACACGGCUGGAUCGAGUUUCGACCCGAAUCGCUCUCGAGACAAAUCACACGAAGGUGUGAACUCUCCUUCGUUGAACAUUCUUACGGCCUCGGCUCUGGCAGGCGUGACUUUGUGCCCUGUUCGUGGUCACAGGCCGUGUUCCGUCUGCCCGGCGUGUUUUAUUGGCACGAAAGCACAAAAACGAACCAGGGAGCUCCCUCCCUGCCGCCAGCUCCCCCUUUCUCCCCGCUUCCUUCCCUGCCCUCCUCUCCUCUAUUAGCAAACGGGCCAUGCGGUGGCUUGAAGUAUGUGUCCCGAAGGGUAUGUUGAGAUCCUGACUCUCCCAUGUCCGAACGUGACUCUGUUUAAAGACAGGGCGUUCACAGGGGUGCCUGGGUGGCUCAGUCGGUUAAGCGUCCGACUUCGGCUCAGGUCACGAUCUCACGGUUCGUGGGUUCGAGCCCCGCGUCGGGCUCUGGGCUGAUGGCUCAGAGCCUGGAGCCUGCUUCUUGUUCUGUGUCUCCCUCUCUCUCUGCCCCUCCCCUGUUCAUGCUCUGUCUCUCUCUGUCUCAAAAAUAAAUAAAAAAAUAAAGACAGGGCGUUCACAGAGGCGAGCGAAUGAAAGUGGGGUUGUGACGACACUACUGAAAGAACGUGACUGGCAUCCUCGUAGACGGGGAGCCGGACAGGGACACACAUGCACAGAGGCGCACGCGUGAGGAUAGCGGGUGGAGACGCCCCGCCAUUGGAGUCACAUGUCUAUCAGCCCCGAGCACCAAGGAUGGCUGGGGCCGCCGGGAGCUGGCAAAGCCGAGGCAGGGGCCCCACCUAAGGCUUCAGAGAGAACACGAUGCUGAUUUUGAAGUUGUAAUUUCCAGAACUUCGAGAGAAUAAAUGUCUACUGUUGCCAGCCCGCCAGCACAGGGAGCGAAUCCACUGAGUGCAGGGGAGAUGAGACUCUCCUAAACAUGGCCUUGAACGAGGGUCACGUUACACCCGGUCAUCUGUUCUAGUUCAUCACAUAGUUCUGUGUCCGUCAACAUUCUGAGAAACUCGAGUGUGUCUUCAGGACUCCAAAGGUUUGCCUGUGGGCCACCUGGGGGGCUCAGUCAGUUAAGCAUCCGACUCUUGGUGUCGGCUCAGGUCAUGAUCUCAUGGGGCUCGUGGGCUCGAGGCCCGCAUCGGGCUCUGCGCUGACAGCUCGGAGCCUGCUUGGGAUCCUGUCUCCCCCUCUCUCUCUGCCCCUCCCCCUUCUCAAAAUAAAUAAAUAGACUUAAAAAACAAAACAGUGUUUUGCUCGCUAAGAACUUGCCUUGCCAGGUAAAGAACCGCUUUGUACAUCAAAUUUGUUUG